rnacentral:rRNA from 1 species
GUAGGGAAUCUUCCGCAAUGGACGAAAGUCUGACGGAGCAACGCCGCGUGAGCGAAGAAGGCCUUCGGGUCGUAAAGCUCUGUUGUAAGGGAAGAACAAGCAUCGGUUAACUGCCGGUGCCCUGACGGUACCUUACCAGAAAGCCACGGCUAACUACGUGCCAGCAGCCGCGGUAAUACGUAGGUGGCAAGCGUUGUCCGGAAUCAUUGGGCGUAAAGCGCGCGCAGGCGGUUUCUUAAGUCUGAUGUGAAAGCCCACGGCUCAACCGUGGAGGGUCAUUGGAAACUGGGAGACUUGAGUGCAGAAGAGGAAAGCGGAAUUCCACGUGUAGCGGUGAAAUGCGUAGAGAUGUGGAGGAACACCAGUGGCGAAGGCGGCUUUCUGGUCUGUAACUGACGCUGAGGCGCGAAAGCGUGGGGAGCAAACAGGAUUAGAUACCCCGGUAGUCC